ensembl:lncRNA
AGUAGUAGUAGUACCAGUGACAGUAGCAGUAGCAGUAGCAGUAGUAGUAGUAGUAGUAUUAAUAGUAGUAGUAAUAGUAGUAGUAGUAGUAGUAGUAACAGUAGCAGUAGUAAUAGUAGUAACAGUAGUAUGUCAGUAGUAGCAGUAGCAGUAGUACUAGUAGUAGUAGUAACAGUAGCAGUUGUAGUAGUGUUAAUGUUAAGUCUAGUCAAACUUUAUUGUGAGUUAUAGCAUGGUGAGGUGAGGAGAUAAUGAUUUCUUACAUGACCAUGAAAAUAGCUGAGCUUUUCAGAUUCUAACCAGAAAGCGUUUAUUUCCCCCCUUAAACAUGACAAGAUCUGAUCCACCUUUUUCAACACAGGCAUCUGCUCCAGUGUCCAAACCUCCUGUUGCCAAAGAAGCCAUUAAACCAGUUCCUGCCAACCCGCCGGUGAACGCAGUUAGGCAGGAGGGCUUGGCUCUGGGCGUGGUGCUGGGAUUGGGUGCCUUACAACUGCCCUCCUUUAAGGUGAAGAGGAAGGAGCACCCAGCAGAGAUCUCAGAGCCUCUGGCCAAACGGACGUGUCCCUCCCAGCCUGAGGAAGAGGAGAUAGAAACACAGAGUGCAGAGAGAGCAGAGACUGACAUGGGGGAGGACUCAGCAAAGAUGUCCAAAAAAGACGUACCAGUCACUGCUGCCAGACGCAGACAUGCCAGGCCUCUGGAACUGGACAGUGAAGGGGAGGAAGAUGGGAGAGAAGAGGAUUCUGGGAAGGUGGAGGACUCCCCUGCGUUGUCUGAUAGAGAAGAAGAAACUGAGAAGGUGCAACAAUGGGUUGUCUUCCUGAAUCCUAUUUCUCAUGCAUUCCCUUUACUGUAUCAUGUGAUUUGGUUCAAAUGUGCUUUUUUCUCCAUUUUCUCGGCUGUCAGUAUGGGGAUGAUGAUGAUGAUGAUGACGAUGAAGAUUAUGAAGAUGACACAGAAGUCGGGAUGUCACCUCCAGUCAGAGAAAAGGAGAAACACAUAGAUUAUGAAGUCAUCAGCAUCUCCUCCUCCACCAGUUACUAUGACAACACUUCAACAUCUUCCAGUUCUGAGUCUUCCCUGUCUGAAUCUGAUUAUGAUGACGAUGAUGACGACAAUGAUGAUGGUAGUUACCUCACAGACAAUCAUGAAUGCAUGAGGUGGUCAAGAGAUACUGUGCAAGAGCCAGAAGAAUUGGAGGUGGAGGAUGAGCAGGAGGAAGAUGAGGAGAGGGAACCGUGGUUGUUGUCAUCUAAUGAGGAGGAGACAGGCUUGGUUGGCGACCAUGCUGUGCCGUCCCCCUGGUCCCUGUACGAGGGGGAGAUGGAGCGACCGCCCCCCACUCCCUGCGCCCCUAUCCCCACAGACGAGCAUUUGGAGCAGGCUUUACUGGGCGAUGAGGACAUCAGACUGGAUGGGGAGGAGUUUCAGCUGAGGGUGUGUCUACAGGGAGAUGCCCUGUGUCUCUCACCUGGGGAGUUCCCCUACCCACCCUCCCCGUCUUAUGGAGAGAUGUCAGGUCAGUACACACCUCAAUGCUUUAUUUAGACCCCGGGGAGUUCGCCUGCAUGUACACAUGAAACAAAACUAAAACUAAAAAGAAUGUCUGUGGUAUGGCUGAUCAGAAGAGAUACAGUCACAGUAUUUAUUACCUUAUUAUG